rnacentral:rRNA from 1 species
ACAGAGGGUGCAAGCGUUGUUCGGAAUUACUGGGCGUAAAGCGCGUGUAGGCGGCCUUGUUAGUUGGAUGUGAAAGCCCUCGGCUCAACCGAGGAAGUGCAUCCAAUACUGCAAAGCUUGAGUGUCGGAGGGGGUGGCGGAAUUCCUGGUGUAGAGGUGAAAUUCGUAGAUAUCAGGAGGAACACCUGUGGCGAAGGCGGCCACCUGGACGACAACUGACGCUGAGACGCGAAAGCGUGGGUAGCAAACAGG